UUGUUGACAACGCAUAAAAUAGGCGCUUGUCAGGUCGUGUGGUUAUAUUAAAUAUAAGCGAAAGAGAGAACCUUCAAGAAAUGAAUAUAGCCACUACAGUGACCAUCAAGACCAUUAAAUUUGGAUAAUAAAACUCGAGGUGGAAACCAGGAGGCAGCCGGAAGAAUACAUCCGAGGACAGGACACAUCAAGUUGUGCUCAGUGUGCUGAGGUGAAGCAUCCAAACCACACGGCCUGUUCUUCAAUCCGGGAUCGUGUCCCAAAUCAGAGCUGCGGAAGGGUAAGCGUCACAGUGAGUGUGCUGCAGCUGAUGUUGACCUGAAGAAUCGUGUCUCGCAGGUACAGUCUGCAGUCUGUGAAGUGGGGCUCCUGCUGCUCAGGUGUUCUCACUGAAGUCCGUUUCACCUGAUGAGAGGAGGCAGCUCUGACUUGAGGCUGUUCAAGAAUGAGCGCCACUUGAUCUGGUUCCACCUCUACCACAGGCAGAGAAACACAGGCCUGGACUCUUUGUUGGCCAGACAAAAUCAGAAACGGAAAUCAUUGGUUUUUACAACUGGGUCCAGUUCUACCUGCAAAGGAUAUGAGGCCAGGGAGCAUGAUUUGCCAUGGGUUGAGCCAGCCCUGCAAACCCUGUGGAUGGACGAUGCAGUGGAC